GCGGAUGUAGCUCAACUGGGAGAGCGCCGGACAUACUCCGGAGGUUGUGGGUUCGAGUCCCGUCGUCUGCACCA
rnacentral:tRNA from 1 species